AUUGAACGCUGGCGGUAGGCCUAACACAUGCAAGUCGAACGCGAAAGUCCUUCGGAGUGAGUAGAGUGGCGGACGGGUGGAGUAACGCGUAGGAAUACUAUCCUGUAGUGGGGGAGUAACGUUUCGUAAAGGAAACGCUAAUACCGCAUACGCCCCAACGGGGGAAAGGCGGGGGAGUCUUCGGACCUCGUGCUAUAGGAGGAGCCUGCGUCGGAUUAGCUAGUUGGUGAGGUAAAGGCUCACCAAGGCGACGAUCAGUAGGGGGCGUGAGAGCGUGGACCCCCACACGGGUACUGAGACACGGACCCGACUCCUACGGGAGGCAGCAGUAAGGAAUAUUGGUCAAUGGAGGAAACUCUGAACCAGCCAUCCCGCGUGCAGGAAGAAUGCCCUAUGGGUUGUAAACUGCUUUUAUCUGGGAAGAAAAGCCGGCAUUUAUGUUGGUCUGACGGUACCAGAGGAAUAAGCACCGGCUAACUCCGUG
rnacentral:rRNA from 1 species